CUCUCUCUCUCUCCCUCCAAACAACCCAAAAAUAUCACAAUGCAAUUCAUUUCCCUCACCUCACUCUCACCUGAAACCACCACUUUCCACCACCACCACCACCGGCACCGCCGGAGAAGAAGCUCAUGUUUUCAAGCCUAAUGGCUACCAAGUUGGGGUUUGCUCUAACCACAGCACCGCGCCUCUUCGCUCCUUCGUCACGGAAGCCAUUGAUUUCGCCGGCAUCGUUGUCAUCUGCAUCAUCUUGUUCGAGAGUUGAGUCAUUUCAAUUGGUCGGUCGGCAGUUGCGUCUUUCGCGUAGACUUUUUAUUAUUUCACCUAAGGCCACUGCAGAUCAGCAAGGUCAGGUCCAAGGAGAUGACGUCGUUGAUUCUAAAAUCUUGCCCUACUGUAGCAUAGACAAGAAAGAAAAGAGGUCAAUUGGGGAGAUGGAACAAGAUUUUCUUCAGGCACUGCAGUCUUUUUAUUAUGAGGGAAAGGCUAUUAUGUCAAAUGAGGAAUUUGACAACCUCAAGGAAGAACUCAUGUGGGAAGGAAGCAGCGUUGUUAUGCUAAGUUCUGAUGAACAGAAGUUUCUUGAAGCCUCCAUGGCCUAUGUUGCAGGGAACCCGAUAAUGUCUGAUGAAGAGUUUGACGAUUUGAAGAUAAAGCUUAAGAUUGAAGGAAGUGAAAUUGUAGUUGAGGGUCCAAGAUGCAGUCUUCGUAGUAAAAAGGUUUAUAGUGAUCUGUCUGUCGACUAUCUCAAGAUGUUCCUCUUGAAUGUCCCAGCUGCUGUUGUUGCACUGUCAUUGUUUUUCUUCCUGGAUGAUGUGACUGGAUUUGAAAUCACUUUUCUUCUGGAGCUCCAGGAACCAUUCAGUUUCAUUUUCACGUGGUUUGCUGCAGUGCCCCUCAUAUUUUGGCUAUCUCAGACAAUUACCAAAUUUAUUUUGAAAGAUUUUUUGAUCCUAAAGGGCCCUUGCCCAAACUGUGGUACAGAGAAUGUUUCGUUCUUUGGCACUAUACUGUCAAUUUCCAAUGGUGGUACCACCAACAAUCUUAAAUGUUCCAAUUGUGAGACUCAAAUGGUGUAUGAUUCAAAGACACGCUUGAUUACAUUGCCUGAAGGAAGUGAAGCUUGAGUGCAGGUACAUACCCAUUCAACCCUAAAAUCCUUGUACUUGAUCAUGGUAACACCAAAGAGGAUCGACCUAUGUGGAAGGACCUACUACUACAUAACUUUGUGGUAACAUGUAAAGUUACUGGGAAAGGAAUCGGGUUGUGUUUUCAGGAAGUGCAAAGAGAUGGGCUGACAUCAAUGUGAUGGGUUGGAGCUGAAUUUCUAGCUCCAUGUCAAUAUUGCUUGUAUCUAUAUGUUCAUAUCGAUAUCUAAUACAGGCUUGUACACUCAGAGAGGGACGAUAUUGUUGUAAUCAAAACGUCCUACUUUAUUAGAAUUGUGUUUUGUGUAACUUCAUAGUUUUGGGUUUUUCUCCUACAA